CAACCUAAAGCUUCACUUCUCAUUGAUUGCUUUGUUUUAUUUUUCUUCUCAGGAAAAUAAUGUUGGAAACAAGCUAGCAAGUACCCAAACUGAAUAAAAACACAGCCUGGAAGAAUCUUAAGAGGGAGCAGGCACUGGUUGCUGCUGGAAGAUGGCACAUCUCUCACACAGCUCUGCCUGUGUAAUGCUGCCUGAUUUGCGUAGGACCUAAUCCAUGAGCACCACCUCGAAAAUACCAAGCAGCCCCAACACCCUUUAAAAGACAGCCGGA
rnacentral:lncRNA from 1 species